GCAUAUCAAUAAGCGGAGGAAAAGAAACCAACAGGGAUUGCCUCAGUAACGGCGAGUGAAGCGGCAACAGCUCAAAUUUGAAAUCUGGCCCUUUCAGGGCCCGAGUUGUAAUUUGGAGAAGAUGCUUCGGGUGCGGCCCCGGUCUAAGUUCCUUGGAACAGGACGUCACAGAGGGUGAGAAUCCCGUACGUGCCCGGUGGUCGCCCCCGUGUGAAGCUCUUUCGACGAGUCGAGUUGUUUGGGAAUGCAGCUCAAAAUGGGUGGUAAAUUUCAUCUAAAGCUAAAUAUUGGCCAGAGACCGAUAGCGCACAAGUAGAGUGAUCGAAAGAUGAAAAGCACUUUGGAAAGAGAGUUAAACAGUACGUGAAAUUGUUGAAAGGGAAGCGCUUGCAACCAGACUUGCGCGCGGCCGAUCAUCCGGUGUUCGCACCGGUGCACUCGACCGCGCGCAGGCCAGCAUCGGUUUGGGUGGCUGGAGAAAGGCCACGGGAAUGUGGCUCCCCUCGGGGAGUGUUAUAGCCCGCGGCGCAAUGCAGCCCACCCGGACCGAGGACCGCGCUUCGGCUAGGAUGCUGGCGUAAUGGUUGUAAGCGACCCGUCUUGAAACACGGACCAAGGAGUCUAACAUCUAUGCGAGUGUUUGGGUGUCAAACCCAUACGCGGAAUGAAAGUGAACGGAGGUGAGAACCCUUAAGGGUGCAUCAUCGACCGAUCCUGAUGUCUUCGGAUGGAUUUGAGUAAGAGCAUAGCUGUUGGGACCCGAAAGAUGGUGAACUAUGCCUGAAUAGGGUGAAGCCAGAGGAAACUCUGGUGGAGGCUCGCAGCGGUUCUGACGUGCAAAUCGAUCGUCAAAUUUGGGCAUAGGGGCGAAAGACUAAUCGAUUAUCUAGCCCCC
rnacentral:rRNA from 1 species